GAGCCAUGGCUGGUUGGCUCCUGCACACCUGAGAAGUGCCCUAUUUUGGUCGGUAUUUGAUAAUGCGGAAGAAGAGACCUAGAUGGACAUUGCAAGAAUAAAGCCCUAUGGAAAGGUGUAACCCUCAAAUCAAAGGCUGCAAUUCAGUGAAAACGUGUACUAAUAUGCUUGCUGCUGCUAAUUGAGACUAUGAGGAAAACAAUUUGUUCCUACCAUUAUUCCUGGGCAGAAAAAAAACAACAAAACCAAAAUAAUGAUUUCACAUGAAAAUUUACAACAUUCCAACACAUGGGGCUGAUAUGUAAAUUUGUAUUACCAGCAUGGUGAGGAAAAAUCUUGAGCUCAGACUUUAUGUUAUUAAUAAAUGGUCGCAGUUUG